GGCGAACGCUGGCGGCGUGCUUAACACAUGCAAGUCGAACGGAAAGGCCCUGCUUUUGUGGGGUGCUCGAGUGGCGAACGGGUGAGUAACACGUGAGUAACCUGCCCUUGACUUUGGGAUAACUUCAGGAAACUGGGGCUAAUACCGGAUAGGAGCUCCUGCUGCAUGGUGGGGGUUGGAAAGUUUCGGCGGUUGUGGAUGGACGCGCGGCUUAUCAGCUUGUUGGUGGGGUAGUGGCUUACCAAGGCUUUGACGGGUAGCCGGCCUGAGAGGGUGACCGGCCACAUUGGGACUGAGAUACGGCCCAGACGCCUACGGGAGGCAGCAGUGGGGAAUAUUGCACAAUGGGCGGAAGCCUGAUGCAGAAACGCCGCGUGCGGGAUUACGGCCUUCGGGUUGUAAACCGCUUUCGCCUGUGACGAAGCGUGAGUGACGGUAAUGGGUAAAGAAGCACCGGCUAACUACGUG
rnacentral:rRNA from 1 species